GAUGAACGCUAGCUACAGGCUUAACACAUGCAAGUCGAGGGGUAGCAGGGUAGCAAUACCGCUGACGACCGGCGCACGGGUGAGUAACACGUAUCCAACCUUCCCAUAAAUCGGGGAUAGCCUUUCGAAAGAAAGAUUAAUACCAGAUAGUACUUUUUCAAGGCAUCUUGAAGAUGUUAAAGAUUUAUUGGUUAUGGAUGGGGAUGCGUUCCAUUAGAUAGUUGGUGAGGUAACGGCUCAGCAAGUCUUCGAUGGAUAGGGGUUCUGAGAGGAAGGUCCCCCACAUUGGUACUGAGACACGGACCAAACUCCUACGGGAGGCAGCAGUGAGGAAUAUUGGUCAAUGGGCGAGAGCCUGAACCAGCCAAGUAGCGUGAAGGAUGAAGGUCCUAUGGAUUGUAAACUUCUUUUAUAGUAGAAUAAAGUGAUCCACGUGUGGAUUUUUGUAUGUAUACUAUGAAUAAGGAUCGGCUAACUCCGUGCCAGCCGCCGCCGUAAUAC
rnacentral:rRNA from 1 species